AACGCUGGCGGCAUGCCUUACACAUGCAAGUCGAACGGCAGCACGGGUGCUUGCACCUGGUGGCGAGUGGCGAACGGGUGAGUAAUACAUCGGAACAUGUCCUGUAGUGGGGGAUAGCCCGGCGAAAGCCGGAUUAAUACCGCAUACGAUCUACGGAUGAAAGCGGGGGACCUUCGGGCCUCGCGCUAUAGGGUUGGCCGAUGGCUGAUUAGCUAGUUGGUGGGGUAAAGGCCUACCAAGGCGACGAUCAGUAGCUGGUCUGAGAGGACGACCAGCCACACUGGGACUGAGACACGGCCCAGACUCCUACGGGAGGCAGCAGUGGGGAAUUUUGGACAAUGGGCGAAAGCCUGAUCCAGCAAUGCCGCGUGUGUGAAGAAGGCCUUCGGGUUGUAAAGCACUUUUGUCCGGAAAGAAAUCCUUGGCCCUAAUACGGUCGGGGGAUGACGGUACCGGAAGAAUAAGCACCGGCUAACUACGUG
rnacentral:rRNA from 1 species